UUGAUUCAUUUUGAAUUUUUGCUCAGAGCUGUAAGAAAUAACGUCCGCGAGGGGACUACAGAAAAGAGUUUGGGUCCUCCGGCGGGCGCCUGGUUCCGGGACGCCGAGGCGCCGGGGCGGUCCCGCCGAAGCAACGUUGGGUAUGUUCACAGGGGUUUGGGAGUUGAUAACUCGGUAAUGAUCCCUCCGCUGGUUCACCAACGGAGA
rnacentral:misc_RNA from 1 species